AAGACUGUUUGCAUAGUCAAAGCCAGAGUACCCUUCUCAACUGGAACUGAAAGCAAACAAGAACAAAUUUCUUUCCAGUGAGAUCAGGAUGCCCAAGCUGCCUUCACACUUCUCAAGGAGCACUUCACCUCAGCUCCCAACUGGAUCUGGGUCUCCAAUUCAAGGUGGAAGUAGACACUUUCAACUUGGGGGUGGGGGCCAUGCUCUCCCAACAAAAGGACGGCCAGGUUCUCAUUACGUGAAACCGGACACUCUAUCCCAGCUCAUCUGGUUGGGUCCUUCUCUGAGGACCCAACUGACACUGCACCCAUCCUGCAACCUACUUCCACCAUUGGAACCAUUGCAUGGGAAAUCGAGUCAUCGUUCCAAGAAGCACAGGAACCAGGCCACUGGCAUGCCUCUGUCUUCUCUAUAAAAUGGACUAUGGAUUCCAGGCGCCGGGGGAAAAGAUUUCAGUAUCUGGCGGGCUGGGAGGGCUACAGCCCUGAAGAACACUCCUGGAUUUUGCAGUCGGUGGUUCUGGACAAAACCAUGCUUCGAUAGUUCCACCGCCCGCAACCUGAUAAGCCUGAUGGGUCACCGGCAGGCUCCCAUUUAAGUUCGGGGGGUACUGUCAGUUUUAAACACAUGCAAACUAAAGUAGGUAGAAACCUAUUCUUCUCAUUUCCACCAUCACAUUUGUAUUCUUAGACUCUAAUAAGAGUGGCUUAGCAUUAAUCCCGGUUCAAAAUAAUCCUUAUUUAUCAUAGAUUGGGCGUUGGUGCAGCAAUGCCAUUCUUGCAAUAUCUGAAAUAAUCCAUUUUAGAUCCUCUCCCUUUAAGCCAGUUUUCUUCUGACUGGCUGCCCCAGGCAAACAGAAGGUCUGAACAGCAGGUUGAUCAUCCAUCUGCGCUUGCAGCUAGAGCUGUGUGGCUGAGAUGAGCAUAUUAAGGAUGUUCCUCACCCUCCUUAACAUCAUGCAGAGCCAAGAGUAACAGGAAAAACUGUCUGAAUUUGAGUCUUCACAGUAGUUGGAAGAAUGAGCUUUUUACUCACAGGGAUUAGUUACACAUCCCUCAUUUUCUCUUAACUGAACACCCACAUAAAGAAGAGUAUGUAGGCCUAUAUAUGGUAGAAAAUAAUCAGAAUAGAAUAACAUGGUCGCUUUCAACGACUUAGUAUAUUAGUUUCUUCACCAGCUGAAACAGCAUAUCCUGAUCAUACACUUUCUUUUGUACAUCCUGGUAAGUAAUGAAGAAUGAAAAGAAAUAUGAAAGAAAUUUAGUACACAAGGGCAAGGCAGCACCAUUAAAGCACUUCGUCUUGGGGCCACUAUGGAAACUUCCCAGGUUAUGAUACUGUACGUGUGAACCCCAGCGCCUGCUGCCAUUGUAUUAUACUAGACCUUAUGCCGUGUGUGUGUGUGGGUUAGGGGAGUACUGUAUCUCUGUGAUCAUAAGGGGUCUGUGAAGGCGAGGAAACAGAAGGCCGGUUAUACAGCUACACACAGAGGAGAGGGUAAGACUGCCAAGCUGUGGGAAGACUGGGAGCCAAAUGGAUCACACACGUAAUCACACACAGAGAAACGCAGCAUAGUGCAAACACACAUAUGCUGUGCUGAAUGUAUGUGCCAGAGUGGGGCAAAAGACAGAGCCAAAGUAUUGAAUGACAGAGGGUGUUGACACUGAUGUCUUGGCUGCUGGACUUGAACUAAUAUCCAAAUCUUCUGUAAACCACUCGGCUCACACACUCAGAUCCGAUUUCUUCAGUCUCACUUCGACUUGAAAAAGUACAGAGUAUCAGAAGGCGCGCUGACCAAAUAAGUGAGAGCACCACUCAAUAUUCACAAAUUUCCAUUUCACACUUUGCAGAGCAAUAUUAUGCCUGAUGCACACAGACACAAAUCUGAAUCAAACGCUAACAGCCAUGAAAUGAACAGAAAAAGGGAUUCAUAAGGAGCUUUUCGCUUUCCCUCUCCCGUUGGCCCAAUCAAAUUUUUAUCCAAUAAAAUCUUUAAUGAGGUGAGUCACCGAGUCACUCCCUCUACAUCACCUUGUGACAGCGGACAUAAAUUCGAUUCGUCACACCACGUUUUCGCACAAACUGCUGAA